GGCUGGAGUGGCCCCGUCACCUGGGUCCCGGCGCCGGGCGGCGCCUUCGCCUCCUCGCCCUUCCCCGCUGCUGGCUCCGUUCAGGAAAGUCCGGGAGACCUGAGUACGCCCAUUUGAUGGAUGGCGCAACCGACGACCUGGGAGUGAGGGUCGUUCCAGGCACCGCAGCCUGCCCCCUAGCUGGGAACCUCACCCCCAUGAAGCCAUUGGAAUCUAGAGGAGAAGGCCCCAGGAAGCCUCCACUUCCCCCCAGGCUUUUGAGAAGCAACCACACAAUACAACUAACAUGCCAAGGAGUGCGCACUCCCCACCCCCAAGCUGACCAAGGAUCUCUCAGGACAAAGGAAGAAAUCUAGACAUGACCACCAGGCCCAGCAUGGCUUAGCCCUGCAGCUCCAGUGAGAGGAAGUUCUUUCAGUUCCCACUGGACGACAUCUUGCAAUUUCUCAGCUCAGAUCUUUGCCUGUGCUGUUCCCUUUGCUUGGUACACCACGCC